rnacentral:tRNA from 1 species
GCGAGAGUAGCUCAGUGUUAGAGCGCCAAAAUACCAAAACGUGGUCGUUUCCACCAAUUGGUCACGGAGGUCGGGGGUUCAAAUCCUUCCUCUCGCA